rnacentral:rRNA from 1 species
GACGAACGCUGGCGGCGUGCUUAACACAUGCAAGUCGAACGGUGAAGCCCUUCGGGGUGGAUCAGUGGCGAACGGGUGAGUAACACGUGAGCAACCUGCCCCUGGCUCUGGGACAACCACUGGAAACGGUGGCUAAUACCGGAUACGACCCGCCUCGGCAUCGAGUGUGGGUGGAAAGUUUUUCGGCUGGGGAUGGGCUCGCGGCCUAUCAGCUUGUUGGUGAGGUGAAGGCUCACCAAGGCGACGACGGGUAGCCGGCCUGAGAGGGCGACCGGCCACACUGGGACUGAGACACGGCCCAGACUCCUACGGGAGGCAGCAGUGGGGAAUAUUGCACAAUGGGCGAAAGCCUGAUGCAGCGACGCCGCGUGAGGGAUGACGGCCUUCGGGUGGUAAACCUCUUUCAGCUCCGAAGAAGCGAAAGUGACGGUAGGAGCAGAAGAAGCACCGGCUAACUACGU